AAUUUUGUUGCUGAUGCAGGGACGUCUGUAGCCAAAAGUUUAAUACGCAUCUGCAGGAGAAAGAAAAGAAAGAAAAAGAAAUUAUCAUCCAGAGAAUACGUGGGAAAUAAGCAGGAAUACAUAACCAAAAUAUUUGCCAGGCCAUCAUGCAAAUCCUUGGAGUUGGCGGCCACAAAGAUAAGAGUUUGUUGUAAUCUUUUCCUAUUAUUUAGAAUAAGUUAGUUUUAUAUCCAGUUAGAGACGGGAUAUAUAAGCACUAUUGUAAGCUGCAAAGACGAGAGAUCAACAGUUAUCAUUUUCUUUAAUCUACUACAUAUUCCUUUAGUUUCUUUCUUUGGUGCUUUGACGAGAAAAGCAUUCGAGUCUCUCUGCGAAAGUGAGAUCAACGCCUGCUGCUCAACCAAUUUCUGGUAGCAGCAGACGCCUGCUGCUCAACCAAUUUCUGGUAGCAACAGAUUUGGCGACUCCGCUGGGGAACGAUUUGUAAUCGUUUCACGGCGGCAAACUGCUGGUGAUUGGCGUCCUCAUCGCCAAUCAUAGUCGGGGCUAUGGAGGACAAGACAGCGAAGAAAGCGGCGCCGGACAAAUCUGAAGUUCAUCCCUUGAACGUGAUCAAGGUCACGAUGGAGGACCUUACAGAGGCGGACCGGAAGGAGAUUGAAGAAGAAAUCGCACGAGAGAUGGAGGAGAAACGGAACGAGAGAUUAGCUUGCUUUCGAAAAACCAAGAAUGGUGUGAUCAAACAGAUUGGUGGGGCAAGCACGUCCAGCAAGAAGGUAAGUUCAUCUGUCACUUGUGAAGAACUAGCUCACAUGAUUGAUAUCGCUGUAGCUAGCAAAUAUGGGACUGAUGUCGCAGAAAUAACACACAUGAUUUCUGAGGGAGUGCGCAAUUCUUUUGACACAUUUAGAUCUGAGUUUAAGCAAGAUAUGAAUAAUAAUAUGCCUAGACAGAUCCGAUCUAUAGUUCAACAGGUUCAAGGAGAAUUGCAGGGUAAGCGUGUAGAAAAUCUUUCAUAUGCGCCUAGUUAUAAUGGAGCAGUUGCGCAUAAUGAUGUAAACCAAACUGUUAAUGAGAGGAGUGGAGAUUCAGUAAUGAACUUUAACCUACAACAGCCAUAUUAUCAUAGUAUGGCAUACGGGCCAUCUAUUCCACCUAUAGGGAACAAGAUCCCACAAGGAUUUGUUCCAAAUGAUUACAGGAUUGGGGAGCAGAGAGCGCUGUUAUCAGCAUCGGGAGUCACACAUACAGCAGCUGAGGGUGAGAGAUCUGAGGGUGUUAGAGAACAAGUGGCAAGGACUCUCAGGGAAUUUGGUUUUGAGCCCAAAGGGCAUACUAGGUCAUAUAGGAAGCCCUAUCCUGAAUUUUUUGACACUGUGCCAUAUCCUCGAGGUUUUAGAAUCCCGGACUUUGUGAAAUUUUCUGGGGAUGAUUCAAAAACUACCUACGAGCAUGUAGGACAAUACCUAGCGCAGGUAAGUGAAAUUGGUAUAACAGAUGCCCACAAAGUGAAAUUAUUUCCUUUAUCAUUAUCUAGUACCGCUUUCAAUUGGUUCACAUCUUUAGCACCAAAUUCAGUUACUACGUGGGCAUGUUUAGAGCAGAAAUUUCAUGAUUAUUUUUAUUGUGGUGAUACUGAACUCAGGCUAUCACAUCUUACCAUGGUUAGGCAGAAAUAUAAUGAAACUGUUUUUGAAUACAUUAGAAGGUUUAGAGAAACAAGAAACAGAUGUUAUAGCUUAACUUUAGGGGAAAAGGAUCUGGCCGAUUUAGCUUUCGCAGGGUUAUCAUCCUAUCUGAGGGAGAAACUAGAGGGGCAAGAUUUUACUGACAUAAACCAAGUCAUGCAGCGUGCUAUCACCCAUGAAAGUCGUGCUAGGGACAAUAAACAGUAUAGCCGAUUUAGAGAUACAAAUGGCAGGGAGAAAGAGAAACAGGGGGUUAACAUGUUAGAGCCCAAUAAUGACAGUGAUGAAGAGACAGAUGUAUGUGUGGCUGAAUGGGUAGAUGCGCCAAAGGGUAGGCCCAUGACGUGUGCUUUUUUAAAGCCAAGUCCAGGGAAAAGGGAAGAGAUGAAAUAUACAUUUGAUGUGUCCAAGUGUGAUAAAUUGUUUGACAUCUUAUUACAGAAUAACAUCAUUAGAUUAAGGGAGGGGCAUGUGAUUCCACCCCCUGAACAAUUGGCUAAGAAAGAUUAUUGUAAAUGGCAUAAUUCAUUUUCUCAUUCUACUAACGAGUGUAAUUAUUUUCGUCGUCAGAUACAAUCGGCCCUAGCUGAUGGACGAUUGACAUUUGGAGAAGCUAGCAAAAUGAAGCUUGAUAAAGAUCCGUUCCCUAUCAAUGUAAUUGAUUUCGAGGGCAAAAGAGUGUUAGUUCGGACAGAUCAGGCCGAAACUACUAAAGGCAAGAAUGUGGUUAUCUCUGAUGAUCUCAAACUCAAGAUGAUAAAACCGAAGAGUCCGGAAGUCGGUGUGUGGAAAAUAAACGAGAGAAAAAGGGUUCAGUCUGUCUUUAAACCGACUUCUGAAUUUUUGAUCAAUAAAUAUACUUCACAAUGGAAAAGAAAUGAGUUCCAACAUCCUAGAGGUUUCAAGAGGCCCAGGACUCCAGAAUGGGCACAAGGCAGUUUCUUUGGACAAAGGGAAGGGCCGUUGAACUGGAGAAGCAGGGAAGACUGUGCUCAUGCAGAAAGCCAAUAUUUGUUCUCACAACGUGAAUUCCCGAAGCGGCCAUAUUUGGAGACAGAGCGAAGGCAUGGAGGUGGAGUGUGGAGCAGGCUAGGGAGAAGUAUGGGGAGUCGGCCCGGGGCUAUUACCAUAUCAGAAGACCCCGAGGAGUCGCGCUCGCAGAUUCAAAAGAAAUGGUCUCCUCGCAACCCAGUGGAUGCUAGAGGGCUAUGUAUGGGCAAAAAAUUAGAAGGGGGAAUUAUUGUUGAUAGGCAAAAUGAGCCGCUGAGGAAAAGCUGCUCAAAAAUCAUAGUGGGAACAGUGGAGUGCGACAUAUUAAAUGCUGCAGAAGGUUCCCAGGCAGAGGUGGCAAAGCAGAAUGGUCAGGUGGCUGUCAUAAAGAAUUACAUAAAGAACGGUGAAGAAGUGGCGGCCAAGCCAAACAUAGUACAUGGACACGUAGCUGCUGCUGGGAUAAACAGAUUACAGGUGAUCAGGCCACAAAGUGGUGGUGGACAAGGGAUGAGCAGCAAGCGCAUGAGGCUUGACGUAGGGGCUGCACGAGAAAUGAAUAAUUUUGCUAGCUGGGAUGGUGAACGCAGGGCUGAAAUGAUUGCAAAUCAACGCAUAGUUGGUCCCGGUGUUGUGAUGGAUGGCCACUAUAGGGGGGAGCAUCACACAUUGGCCGAACAAUCAGGUUGCAAUAAUAAACAAAGAGCAAUACCAGCAAGAAUGCCGUUUAGAGAACAUGUUGAUACAGGUGGAAAAAAUAUGUUGAUUGAUGUCACCCAGAAUGUAGGUCCUACUGGUCGAGCUUCAGCUGGCAGUGUAUUGGACGUGGGGGGCAAGAAAAAUCAUGGUUCAGUUGCGCCCGGUACAAAACCAGCACCGAGAUGGUGUCCACCUGGGUUAAGUCGUACGCAAAAGCGUCGUGUCCAGCGGUUGAGGACUAUGGAAAUGACAGAAAAGAUGGAAGAGGAGGAACGUGACAGAUGGUUUAACGAGGAUAGGCCAAUGGUUAUCCCUAAGAAAACAUGGAGGGAGAAACGAUUGGCCAGGGAGGAAAAAGAUGAUGACAACAGCAGUGGUUCCGAUAAAGAAGAAAGCACUGAAGCACAAGGGGACAUGGAUAUAAACAUGGUGUUUGUUUUACCUACUGAGUUCAGAGCAGGAGAGGGAGAUGUGGCUGAGCUAACAUUGGGGGCUGAGCGUGCUGUGUUUGAAAAAACAAGUGAGCAGGGAUCUCAUCUAAAACCAUUAUAUGUUCGUGGUCACAUUGAUGGGAGGCCAAUGGGGGGCAUGCUAGUCGAUGGGGGAGCAGGUGUAAAUGUAAUGCCGCUAUCCGUGUUUUCUAAAUUAGGAUACAAAGAGAGUGAGCUAAUUAAGACGAACAUGAAUCUAAGUGGGUUUUCAGGAGAGCCAUCACAAGCAAAAGGGAUUAUGUCUGUUGAACUCACAGUGGGCAGUAAAACUGUCCCGACGGCCUUCUUCGUGGUGGAUGUGAAAGGGAGGUAUAAUGUUUUGCUAGGGCGAGAUUGGAUACAUGCUAAUGGUUGUGUGCCAUCUACUCUGCAUCAGUUUUUGGUUCAAUGGGUAGGUGAUCAGGUGGAGGUCAUUGAAGCAGACACCGCUAUGUGUGUCGCACUCAUGGAAACGCCAAUGGAAUGGCAGCACGGUGAUAUGCGGUGUUUGACAGGAAGGGAUUUGUCAGGAUAUGAUUUUAUUAGUGUAGAGCGAGAUAGUUUUGUGCCUAUUCAUGUAAAGCCGGCUGACAUAGCACGGCUCAAUGACUCAAUGUUAUAAAUGAAUGAACACGAUAGUUUAAAAUGGUUACAGGAGAGGACAGAUGAAUAUCGUUUAAACAAAAACGAUAUGGGUGAGGUGGUGGAUGAUUUUGAUGAUAUUGGAAAGUUAGGGCAGGGGUUCUCAUCUGUUGAUAAGCUAGAGGAAGUGGACAUUGGAGACGGGAAGGUGCCAAGACCAACAUUUGUAAGUGCUAAAUUAAUAGCCAGUCAGAGGCAAAAGGUAUGUGCUUUACUUAGAGAGUUUAGAGACUGUUUUGCAUGGGAUUAUACUGAGAUGCCAGGGCUGAGCAGGGAGUUGGUUGAACAUAGGCUACCAAUUAAGCAUGGGUUUAGGCCACAUAAGCAGCCACCUAGACGAUUUAACCACACCAUACAUGACAGAGUUAAGGAAGAAGUUGAUCGGCUGUUAAAAGCAAAUUUCAUAAGGCCAUGCAGGUAUGCGGAGUGGGUCUCCAAUAUAGUGCCGGUUGAGAAGAAAAAUACAGGGAAGAUCAGGAUUUGUGUGGAUUUUAGGGAUCUAAAUAGGGCGACCCCGAAAGAUGAAUACCCAAUGCCCAUAGCCGAUGAACUUGUUAAUCAGGCUUCGGGGAAUAAAAUCAUUAGUUUUUUGGAUGGUAAUGCAGGGUAUAACCAGAUUUUUAUGGCCGAAGAGGAUGUAUCUAAGACAGCCUUUCGUUGCCCUGGUUUUGUCGGGUUGUUUGAAUGGGUUGUGAUGACAUUUGGAUUAAAGAAUGCUGGUGCAACAUAUCAACGGGCCAUGAACCUUAUUUUUCAUGAUCUUUUGGGCAUUGUAUUAGAAAUCUACAUUGAUGAUGUUGUGGUUAAAUCGGCUGCUUUCAAUGACCAUUUAGCCGAUUUACGGUUGGCGUUGGAGAGGAUGCGAAAGUAUGGUUUAAAGAUGAAUCCCCUUAAGUGCGCAUUCGGAGUGUCGGCUGGUAAGUUUUUAGGCUUUAUGGUGCAUGAACACGGGAUUGAGAUUGAUCCAAAAAAGGUGGAAGCAAUUGAUAAAUUGGGAGAGCCGACAUGCAAAAGGGACGUUCAAAGGUUAUUAGGAAAGAUUAAUUACUUAAGGCGAUUUAUAUCCAAUUUGGCCGGCAAAAUUGAGUCAUUCGUACCUCUUAUUCGGCUUAAACAUGAAUCUGACUUUAAGUGGGGAGCUGAACAGAGGGAGGCAUUCGCUGUUAUUAAGGGAUAUUUGGCAAAGCCGCCAGUGCUUAAAGCAUCCAAGGCGGGAGUGCCUUUCAAAUUGUACAUUGCAGCACAAGAGAAGGUAAUCGGCGCUGUCUUAAUACAAGAACAUGGUGGGAAAGAGAGUGUGGUGGCCUAUUUAAGCCGUCGUCUGCUGGACAGCGAGAGCAGGUAUGUGUUCAUUGAAAAACUCUGUUUAUCCUUGUACUUUGCAUGCACUAGGUUUCGACAUUAUUUGCUCUCAAGUACUUGUACUGUAGUAUGUCAAACGGAUGUGGUUAAAUAUAUGUUGCAAAAGCCAAUUCUUAGUGGUCGAGUCGGGAAGUGGGCAUAUGCUUUGAUAGAGUAUGAUCUAAUUUAUGAGUCUUUAUGUUCUAUGAAAGGGCAAGUUAUAGCCGAUUUUAUAACUGAUCAUAGGGUUGAUGUAGAGCAGGAAAUCUCAUGUCUUAAUAUUCGUCCUUGGCAAUUAUUUUUUGAUGGUUCUGUGUGUAAAGAAGGACAGGGAAUCGGCUAUGUUUUAGUGUCACCAAAUGGUUUAUGGCAUGAAACAUCAAUUAGGAUUGAAUAUUGCUGCACUAACAAUCAGAUUGAGUAUGAGGCUUUGUUGUUUGGGUUAAUGCAUUUAGAUGGUAUGGGAAUAAAAGAUAUAGAUGUGUUUGGGGAUUCAUUGCUUGUGGUACAACAGGUGAGAGGGGAAUUUCAGUGUUUAGAUGGUAUGCUGCGUAAUUAUUUAGACAGAUGUCUAGAUAUUGUUAAAAAAAUGGAUACUUUCACUAUUGUGCAUAUAUCUAGAGACAAGAAUGGUAGAGCUAAUUUUUUGGCACAGCAAGCAUCGGGAUAUAACAUAGAGAGAGGGCAAUUCUUUAUCCAGAAGGAGCCAAUGUUUGCAGGCAUCAAUAGUAUAGAGAAGAGUAACUCAGACCAAAAAAAAUUCGAGGCCGAGCUACAAGGUGGGAUGGGUAAUUCUGAUUGGAGGAAACCAUUGAUUGAAUGUUUGCGAAACCCCAGUAGCACCAAUGAUAGAAGCGUCCGGAGACAAGUAUUAAAGUAUACCUUGAUGGGAGAUGAAUUAUACCGGCGAACGAUAGAUGGUUUGUUGCUGAAAUGUUUGGGUGAAGAGGAGUCAAGAGUAGCUAUGGGAGAGGUCCAUGAGGGUAUGUGUGGUACCCAUCAGUCGGCCCACAAAAUGAGAUGGAUGUUAAAACGUGCAGGAUUUUAUUGGCCGACUAUGAUGGAGGAUUGUUUUAGGUACUUUAAAGGGUGUGAGGCGUGUCAAAGAUUUGGAGAUAUUCAGUCAGCACCAGCUAGCAUAUUGCAUCCUAUUAUAAAGCCGUGGCCAUUCAGAGGAUGGGGGUUGGAUUUCGUUGGUGAAAUUCAUCCAUCUUCAUCUAGAGGGCAUCGGUUUGUGCUGGUGGCUACCGAUUAUUUUACUAAAUGGACCGAAGCUGUGCCUUUGAAGAACAUGACACAUAAGGAAGUGAUAAGUUUUGUGCUAGAACAUAUUGUGUACAGAUUUGGCAUUCCGCAGACAUUAACAACAGAUCAAGGAGCUGCUUUUAUGUCUCAACAAUUUAAAGAAUUUGCCAAAUCCUUGCAGAUCAAGUUAUUGAAUUCAUCGCCAUAUUACGCGCAAGCUAAUGGGCAGGCUGAAUCCAGUAACAAGGUAUUGAUAAGAUUAAUAAAGAAAAAGAUUGCAGAAAAGCCAAAAAGAUGGCAUGAAGUACUAUCAGAGGCAUUAUGGGCUCAUAGAGUUUCUCGGCAUGGGGCAACUAAGGUAACACCAUUUGAAUUAGUGUAUGGGCAAGAAGCGGUGCUUCCUAUUGAAGUGAAUCUGCAAGCUUGUAGAGUGGCUUGUCAGGAUGGAUUAUCGGCAGUAGUGUAUGGCGAGUUGAUGAUGGACAGGAUUGAUGGAAGUAGUGAAAGCCGAUUAACAGCUUUAAAGGAGAUACAGAAAGAAAAAUUGAGGGUAGCAAGAGCUUACAAUAAAAGGGUAAGAGAGAAAUCGUUUCAGAUCGGGGAAUUAGUAUGGAAAACGAUUUUGCCCAUAGGGUCUAGGGAUAAUAAGUUCGGCAAAUGGUCACCAAAUUGGGAAGGCCCGUUCAAGGUGGUAGGCAUCGUGCAUGGGAACGCAUAUUUUGUUGAGGACGCCCAAGGAAGGAAAUUACCCAAGGCCCUUAACGGAAAGUAUUUGAAAAAGUACUAUCCUAGCGUGUGGCAAGGGGCGUGCUAAGAUUUGAAGCUAGUAGCAGAGUUAUUUUUUUUUUAAAAAAAAAAACUAAGUCUGGAUAUAAUGUAAGAAUAAUUAUGUCGGCUAAGAGAAUUAGAUUAUACAGCAUAGUAGCAUCUAGGGCACUAAAUUGGUUGAGAGAAUACCUAGGCAGGUGCUCUGCAGAUGGGGGCAGUUGAUUGGCAGCGGAUGGCUGUCUUCAGGUGCUGCAGAUCCGGAUGCCUGGAGAUCCAGGUCGGAGAGGCUGUGUUGGCCAAGUGGUGGAGCAGAUGCGUGACGGAAAGUUGCUUGAGUCAAAGAUGACCGCGCCACCUGGGACCGCUUGCUCGCACCUUUGCCAGGAUGGUGCUUCGCGUAGCAGCUGAUGCACUGAUGCUGUGUACAGCCGCCGUCAGGCUGGCGGAUCACAGCCAUGGUCGCACUGGCGCCUCGCCGGUGUGCCACUCGUGCUGGUGUCGCGAUGCUGGCGUGGGCAAGUGGUGUUGAGAACCCUAGCGACGGAUGCGAGGAGCGUUGAGCGCUGAGGAAACAAAGGCAAGGGUAAGGUGCUCGCUGUCCAGUCGUUUGGGCCAGUUUCAGUCGACGGAGUAUUGAGAAUGAGUAUAAUGUCGCUAGUUUGGUAUGGAGGCGUAGAGCUAGGAAAACAGGAAGAGGCCGGUAAUCACAAUGGGCUGAUUUUGGUUAAUGCACGGAUCCAAUUAUUACUAGUGAAGAUUACGGCCGGUGAGUUGAGGAAAUAGCCCUAAAAAACAGAGAGAGAGAGAAAUAUUAUCAGAAAUGUGUUACUAUUAUUUAAAACAUAAGCCGAUUCGAUGUUGAAUCGUUGCCGGGAUAUGUUUUUCGACACACUAAGUUUGCUCGAAAAACAGGGGGGCAUAUGUUGAAUGCAAUUUUGUUGCUGAUGCAGGGACGUCUGUAGCCAAAAGUUUAAUACGCAUCUGCAGGAGAAAGAAAAGAAAGAAAAAGAAAUUAUCAUCCAGAGAAUACGUGGGAAAUAAGCAGGAAUACAUAACCAAGAUAUUUGCCAGGCCAUCAUGCAAAUCCUUGGAGUUGGCGGCCACAAAGAUAAGAGUUUGUUGUAAUCUUUUCCUAUUAUUUAGAAUAAGUUAGUUUUAUAUCCAGUUAGAGACGGGAUAUAUAAGCACUAUUGUAAGCUGCAAAGACGAGAGAUCAACAGUUAUCAUUUUCUUUAAUCUACUACAUAUUCCUUUA
rnacentral:lncRNA from 1 species